rnacentral:rRNA from 1 species
UUUAAACUAGGAUUAGAUACCCUAUUAUUCUUUCUCGAAAUUUAAUUGCUUGAGUAGUAAUCAGUUAUGAGCUCGAAACUUAAAGGAUUUGGCGGUAUUUUAGUCUAGUUAGAGGAACCUGCUCCGUAAACGAUAAGCCACGAAUUAUCUUACUUUUACUUGUGUUCAGUAUGUAUACCUCCAUUAUUAAAUAAUAUUUAUAAGUAAAUAUUGGAAUAAAAUUGAUUUAGUAUAUUAGGUCAAGGUGCAGCUAAUGUGAAAGGUGUGGGUGGGUUACAAUGUAUUUAAUACUUGCGUAUAAAAGUUAUAAAAUCUUUUUGAAGUUGGAUUUAAUUGUAUUCUUAUUUUAAUAAGUCAGGAUGAUAUAAGCUCUAGGAUAUGUACACUCGCCCGCUCAUAAA